GUCCACGCCUAACGAUGCAUGCUUGGUGUGGCCAUUCAUUUGGUCCGUGCCGGAGCUAACGCGUUAAGCAUGCCGCCUGGGAGUACGGUCGCAAGGCUGAAACUCAAGGAAUUGACGGGGCCCGCACAAGCGGUGGAGCAUGUGGUUCAAUUCGACGCAACGCGAAGAACCUUACCUGGGCUCGAACGGCUUCUUAACGGCGGUGGAAACAUCGCUAUCCCGCAAGGGAGUGGAGUCGAGGUGCUGCAUGGCUGUCGU
rnacentral:rRNA from 1 species